GGGCCCGUAGCUCAGCCAGGAUAGAGCGCCGGCCUGCGGAGCCGGCGGUCCCGGGUUCAAAUCCCGGCGGGCCCGCCA
rnacentral:tRNA from 1 species